UGGGCAACCUGCCCAAAAGCGCGGAAUAGCUCGGCGAAAGUCGAAUUAAUACCGCAUAUAGCCAUUGAGCUUAUGCUCAAAAAGCUAAAAACGGCGCAAGCUGUUGCUUCUGGAUGGGCCCGCGGCCUAUCAGCUAGUUGGCGAGGUAACGGCUCACCAAGGCUAUGACGGGUAGCUGGUCUGAGAGGACGACCAGCCACACUGGAACUGAGACACGGUUCAGACACCUACGGGUGGCAGCAGUCGAGAAUUUUUCUCAAUGGGCGAAAGCCUGAAGGAGCGACGCCGCGUGAAGGAUGAAGGUCUUCGGAUUGUAAACUUCUGUCAUUAAGGAACAAACAUUCCGUUUAACUAACGGAAAACUGAUAGUACUUAAAGAGGAAGGGACGGCUAACUCUGUGCCAGCAGCCGCGGUAAUACAGAGGUCUCAACCGUUGUUCGGAUUUAUUGGGCGUAAAGGGUGCGUAGGUGGUCGUGUAAGUCGGAUGUGAAAUCCUAAGGCUCAACCUUGGAACUGCAUUCGAUACUGCGCGGCUUGAGCGCUGGAAAGGAGACUGGAAUUUACGGUGUAGCAGUGAAAUGCGUAGAUAUCGUAAGGAAGACCAGUGGCGAAAGCGAGUCUCUGGACAGAUGCUGACACUGAGGCACGAAGGCCAGGGGAGCAAACGGGAUUAGAUACCCUGGUAGUCC
rnacentral:rRNA from 1 species